rnacentral:rRNA from 1 species
AGCAGCCGCGGUAAUUCCAGCUCCAAUAGCGUAUAUUAAAGUUGUUGCAGUUAAAAGCUCGUAGUUGAAUUUCGGGGUUCCACCGUUGGUCGGGCUAUUGUUUGUACUGGCGUGUGGAAUUUCUACCUUCUGGGGAACUAUCAUGUUAUUAAUUUAGCGUGGUAGGAAACCAGGACCUUUACCUUGAAAAAUUAGAGUGUUCAAAGCAGGCUUAUGUCUGAAUACAUUAGCAUGGAAUAAUAAAAUAGGACGGUGGUCCUGUUUUGUUGGUUUCUGAAUCACCGUAAUGAUUAAUAGGGAUAGUUGGGGGCAUUAGUAUUCAAUUGUCAGAGGUGAAAUUCUUGGAUUUAUUGAAGACUAACUACUGCGAAAGCAUUUGCCAGGAUGUUUUCAUUAAUCAAGAACGAAAGUUAGGGGAUCGAAGACGAUCAGAUACCGUCGUAGUCUUAACCAUAAACUAUGCCGGCUAGGGAUCGGACGAUGUUAAUUUUUCUUGACUCGUUCGGCGCCUUACGGAAAC